rnacentral:rRNA from 1 species
UAGGGAAUCUUCGGCAAUGGGGGGAACCCUGACCGAGCAACGCCGCGUGAGUGAAGAAGGUUUUCGGAUCGUAAAGCUCUGUUGUUAAGGAAGAACGAGUGUGAGAAUGGAAAGUUCAUGCUGUGACGGUACUUAACCAGAAAGGGACGGCUAACUACGUGCCAGCAGCCGCGGUAAUACGUAGGUCCCGAGCGUUGUCCGGAUUUAUUGGGCGUAAAGCGAGCGCAGGCGGUUAGAAAAGUCUGAAGUGAAAGGCAGUGGCUCAACCAUUGUAGGCUUUGGAAACUGUUUAACUUGAGUGCAGGAGGGGGGGGUGGAAUUCCAUGUGUAGCGGUGAAAUGCGUAGAUAUAUGGAGGAACACCGGUGGCGAAAGCGGCUCUCUGGUCUGUAACUGACGCUGAGGCUCGAAAGCGUGGGGAGCGAACAGG